ensembl:misc_RNA Metazoa_SRP Metazoan signal recognition particle RNA
GCCGGGCACCGCGGCUGGUGCCUGUGAUCCCCGCUCCCGGGGAGGCCGAGGCCGGUGGAUCGCUGGAGCUCAUGAGUUCGGGGCUGCCGGGGGCUGUGCCGAGCGGGUGUCCGCACUCAGUUCGGUAUCGAUAUGGUGAUCGCUGGGGAGCUGGGGGUCCCCAGGUUGCCUAAGGAGGGGUGAACCGGCCCAGGUCGGGAACGGAGCAGGUCAAAACUCCCGUGCCGAUCAGUAGUGGGAUCGCGCCUGUGAAUAGCCCCUGCGGCGUAGCCUGGGCAAGACAGUGAGACCCGGUCUCUU